UAUGCGGCAAGGUUAAGGACCUUUAGGUCUGGAGCCGCAGGGAAACCGAGUCUGAAUAGGGCGUUAAGUCGUAUGCCGUAGACCCGAAACCGGGCGACCUACCCAUGGGCAGGGUGAAGCGGAAGUAAAGUUCCGUGGAGGCCCGAACCGGUUGGCGUUGAAAAGCCAUCGGAUGACCUGUGGGUAGCGGUGAAAUUCCAAUCGAGCUCGGAGAUAGCUGGUUCUCCCCGAAAUAGCUUUAGGGCUAGCCUCAGGUUAGUGACAUGGAGGUAGAGCACUGAAUGGCCUAGGGGCCUUUCGGCUACCAAAGCCUAUCAAACUCCGAAUGCCAUGUCAUGUUGCCUGGGAGUCAGACUGCGGGAGAUAAGUUUCGUAGUCGAAAGGGAAACAGCCCAGACCGUCAGCUAAGGUCCCUAAGUACAGGUUAAGUGGAAAAGGAUGUGAGGCUACACAGACAACCAGGAUGUUGGCUUAGAAGCAGCCAUUCAUUUAAAGAGUGCGUAAUAGCUCACUGGUCGAGUGGCCUUGCGCCGAAAAUGUCCGGGGCUCAAACCUGUCACCGAAGCUACGGAAAGUCGAGUGUUCAAUAGUGUUUUCAAGAUAAAAGGUAUAAGGUAAGGACAUUUUGACAAAAGCUACCGCUAAAUAAGAUUAAGGCUUUUGUCCAAAUGAUUAAAAGCUCAAACCUUAAGUUUUGAAGAUAGCAUUGAACACUUGGCUUUGGUAGGGGAGCAUUCUGUACGGGUCGAAGCUGUACCGUAAGGAGCAGUGGACUGUACAGAAGAGAGAAUGCUGGCAUGAGUAGCGAUAGGUGGGUGAGAAUCCCACCCGUCGAAAGCCUAAGGUUUCCUGAGGAAGGCUCGUCCGCUCAGGGUUAGUCGGGACCUAAGCCGAGGCCGAAAGGCGUAGGCGAUGGAAAACGGGUUGAUAUUCCCGUACCACCUAUCUGCGUUUGAGAGAUGGGGUGACGCAGGAGGAUAGGCUGUGCGCACCGUUGGUUGAGUGCGUCCAAGUCUGUAGGGAGUUUCUGUAGGCAAAUCCGCAGAAACAAUCCUGAGAGACGAUGGGGAGCGAAAUUAAAGUAGCGAAGCAGCUGAUUCCACACUGCCGAGAAAAGCCUCUAUCGAGUAGAUAGGUGCCCGUACCGCAAACCGACACAGGUAGGCAAGGCGAGAAUCCUAAGACGAUCGGGAGAACCCCUGUUAAGGAACUCGGCAAAAUGACCCCGUAACUUCGGGAGAAGGGGUACCAGAAGAGGUGAUGACCUUUACGGUCUAAGCUAAUUCUGGUCGCAGUGACCAGGCCCAAGCGACUGUUUAGCAAAAACACAGGUCUCUGCUAAGUCGAAAGACGAAGUAUAGGGGCUGACGCCUGCCCGGUGCUGGAAGGUUAAGGGGAAGUGUUAGCGUAUGCGAAGCAUUGAACCUAAGCCCCAGUAAACGGCGGCCGUAACUAUAACGGUCCUAAGGUAGCGAAAUUCCUUGUCGGGUAAGUUCCGACCCGCACGAAAGGCGCAACGACUUGGGCACUGUCUCAACAGGGGACCCGGUGAAAUUGUAGUACUCGUGAAGAUGCGAGUUACCCGCGGCAGGACGGAAAGACCCCGUGGAGCUUUACUGCAGGCUGACAUUGAAUUUCGGUAUUACUUGUACAGGAUAGGUGGGAGACUGAGAAACCGGGGCGCUAGCUUCGGUGGAGUCAUCCUUGGGAUACCACCCUGGUGAUACUGGAAUUCUAACCACAGGCCGUGAAUCCGGUCUUGGGACACUGUCAGUCGGGCAGUUUGACUGGGGCGGUCGCCUCCUAAAAGGUAACGGAGGCGCUCAAAGGUUCCCUCAGCACGGUCGGAAAUCGUGCGAAGAGUGUAAAGGCAGAAGGGAGCUUGACUGCGAGACAUACAGGUCGAGCAGGAGCGAAAGCUGGACUUAGUGAUCCGGUGGUUCCGAGUGGAAGGGCCAUCGCUCAACGGAUAAAAGCUACCCCGGGGAUAACAGGCUUAUCUCCCCCAAGAGUCCACAUCGACGGGGAGGUUUGGCACCUCGAUGUCGGCUCGUCUCAUCCUGGGGCUGAAGUCGGUCCCAAGGGUUGGGCUGUUCGCCCAUUAAAGAGGCACGCGAGCUGGGUUCAGAACGUCGUGAGACAGUUCGGUCCCUAUCCGCCGUGGGCGUAGGAAAUCUGAGGGGAGCUGUCCCUAGUACGAGAGGACCGGGACGGACAGACCUCUGGUGCACCAGUUGUUCCGCCAGGAGCACAGCUGGGUAGCCAAGUCUGGAAGGGAUAAGCGCUGAAGGCAUCUAAGCGCGAAGCCCACCUCAAGAUAAGAUUUCCCACCGUCAAGGGUAAGGCUCCAGAUAGACUAUCUGGUUGAUAGGUCGCAGGUGUAAGGGCAGUAAUGUCCUAAGCUUAGCGAUACUAAUAGGCCGAGGGCUUGACCAGAU
rnacentral:rRNA from 1 species